CCUCCUACGGGAGGCAGCAGUGAGGAAUAUUGGUCAAUGGACGCAAGUCUGAACCAGCCAUGCCGCGUGCAGGAUGACGGCUCUAUGAGUUGUAAACUGCUUUUGUACGAGGGUAAACCCCGAUACGUGUAUCGGGUUGAAAGUAUCGUACGAAUAAGGAUCGGCUAACUCCGUGCCAGCAGCCGCGGUAAUACGGAGGAUGCGAGCGUUAUCCGGAUUUAUUGGGUUUAAAGGGUGCGUAGGCGGACUGGAAAGUCAGCGGUAAAAUCGAGAGGCUCAACCUCUUUCCGCCGUUGAAACUGUCG
rnacentral:rRNA from 1 species